rnacentral:rRNA from 1 species
UACAGAGGGUGCAAGCGUUAAUCGGAAUUACUGGGCGUAAAGGGCGCGUAGGCGGGACUUCAAGCUGGAUGUGAAAUACCUGGGCUUAACCUGGGGGAGUCAUUCAUAACUGAGGACCUAGAGUAUGGGAGAGGGGGAGUGGAAUUCCCGGUGUAGUGGUGAAAUGCGUAGAUAUGCGGAGGAACACCAGUGGCGAAGGCGGCCACCUGGACCGUCCCUGACGCUCAAACACGAAAGCUAGGGUAGCGAACGGG